rnacentral:rRNA from 1 species
UACGGGGGGUGCGAGCGUUGUCCGGAAUCACUGGGCGUAAAGGGCGUGUAGGCGGGUAGGCAAGUCGGGCGUGAAAUCCCUGAGCUCAACUCAGGAACUGCACUCGAAACUGCUUAUCUUGAGUGCCGGAGAGGAAAGCGGAAUACCUGGUGUAGAGGUGAAAUUCGUAGAUAUCAGGUGGAACACCAGUGGCGAAGGCGGCUUUCUGGACGGUAACUGACGCUGAGACGCGAAAGCGUGGGGAGCAAACAGG